rnacentral:rRNA from 1 species
UACGUAGGGGCAAGCGUUAUCCGGAUUUACUGGGUGUAAAGGGAGCGCAGACGGAAGGCCAAGUCAGGUGUGAAAGGCAUGGGCUCAACCCAUGGACUGCACUUGAAACUGGUCAUCUCGAGUAUCGGAGGGACAGGCGGAAUUCCUGGUGUAGCGGUGAAAUGCGUAGAUAUCAGGAAGAACACCGGUGGCGAAGGCGGCCUGCUGGACGAUAACUGACGUUGAGGCUCGAAAGCGUGGGGAGCAAACGGAUUAGAUACCCCCGUA